rnacentral:rRNA from 1 species
AAAUUGAAGAGUUUGAUCAUGGCUCAGAUUGAACGCUGGCGGCAGGCCUAACACAUGCAAGUCGAACGGUAGCACAGAGAGCUUGCUCUCGGGUGACGAGUGGCGGACGGGUGAGUAAUGUCUGGGAAACUGCCUGAUGGAGGGGGAUAACUACUGGAAACGGUGGCUAAUACCGCAUAACGUCGCAAGACCAAAGAGGGGGACCUUCGGGCCUCUUGCCAUCAGAUGUGCCCAGAUGGGAUUAGCUUGUUGGUGAGGUAACGGCUCACCAAGGCGACGAUCCCUAGCUGGUCUGAGAGGAUGACCAGCCACACUGGAACUGAGACACGGUCCAGACUCCUACGGGAGGCAGCAGUGGGGAAUAUUGCACAAUGGGCGCAAGCCUG